CGCCUGUUUAACAAAAACAUUUCUUCUUUUAGAAGCAAGAGGUAAACCCUGUUCCAUGAUUUUUUUAAUAACCGCAAAAUUUAAUUGUGCAAAGGUAGCAUAAUAAUUUUCUUCUUAAUUGGAAGGUUGGAUGAAUGGGUAAACAAGACAUUAACUAUGUUUAUGUGAAUUUAAAAUUUUACAAAAAGGUAAAAAUGCCUUUUAUAUUUAAAGGGAAGACAAGACCCUGGGAACUUAUUAUAUUUUUAGAUAAUCUUUAAAAUAUUUUUAGCUGGGGCGGCAAGUAUUAAAAACAAAACUUAUAAAAACAUAUGUGUGGUUUUUUUAACAGUAAGUAAAAUAUGAAGAAAUUGAGUUACCCCAGGGAUAACAGCGUAAUAAUUCUAGAGAGCUCAUAUCUAAGGUAAUUGUUGCGACCUCGAUGUUGAAUUAAAUAUACCGU
rnacentral:rRNA from 1 species